rnacentral:rRNA from 1 species
CGUAGGUAAUCUACCUUCGGAUGGGGAAUAACAAUCGGAAACGGUUGCUAAUACCGCAUAAUGCAGCGGCACCUAAUGGUGACAGUUGUUAAAGCGGGGGAUCGAAAGACCUCGCGUCUGAAGAGGAGCCUGCGGCGGAUUAGCUAGUUGGUAAGGUAAUGGCUUACCAAGGCUACGAUCCGUAACCGGCCUGAGAGGGCGGUCGGUCACACUGACACUGACAUACGGGUCAG